GACACGGUGUCCGAGUGGUUAAGGAGUCAGACUUGAACCAAAAUUUGUUUGAGCUAUCUGAUACGUUCGCGUGCGCAGGUUCAAAUCCUGUCCGUGUCG